UAUGUCUGCUCAGGGCGACUCAUUAAAAGCACCCGACUAGAGUCCUGAAGCCGCUAUAAUUCCCACUGCCUCCCACCAUUACCACUUUAUCAGCUUCAGAGGGAAGGUCCAUUUAUUCUUCAAAAAGGCCCACUCCUGAUGUGUGUUGUUCCCUUUUCUUGACUUGUAGAACCACACCAGGAUCAUUCAGUUAAUUUUGGAUGGAGGUGCAUGGCAAUACAUCUCCUGAGGCAGGAGAUUGAAGCUUGACCUUGCACUUCUGUGCCUGACACUUCUAGGCCUUCAUCUUUCUUCGAGGCAACAACAUACUAUUACAGAUGAGGCCUCCUGACUCCAACAGAAGUAUUCGAAGCCCAUGGAAAACCUCACAAAUCCUAGAGAGAGUUAAAGAGGUGGUGAUAUUAAAGCAAACACUUUCCUGCUGUCCAAACAGACACGCCGUGGUUCUGAAUUCUGAUGGAAAGGAGGAACUUCAGACAGCGGCUGAGUGAGGUGACUUUCAUGCUCUGUUGCUGUCCCGCCAAAGGCACUUGAACCUUUCCAGGCCUCAGUCUUCCUCUGUAAGAUGGUAAUAAUAUCUUUAGUUUUAUCCUACAGAACUUUUCAGAGACUCAUAAGAUUUUUAUGGAAAAGGACCUUGAAAAGAAUUCAGGACAAAGUAAAUAUAUUUCCUCUUCGAAGGAGAAGUCAGCCCAAUGUCAACAAAGGUCUUUCUAUUAGAAUGUUGGUGUUGGCAUUCUGGUCUCAUUUCUUUCUCUCAGUGUUUUCUCUCCUUUGUUUCUUUCAUUGUUUAGAAUGCACUGUGCACUAUCUAUUUUUAGUCUCUUCUAGGUGGUAAUUUCCAUUCUCCUGUCCCGGGCUAUAAACACUUGGGGCAAAACAGCACCCGAGACUCCAAGAGAUAACAUUUAAGAAGAGUCUUUUGAAAAUUUGAUAGUUGGAACUCAUUAGUCUCCUACUGAAGGGGCAAAGCCAUCUUGAGUUACUGGAGAAUAGUUUUUAUAUUCAGUUUGAUUUCAUUCCUGAUAACUUAAUUGUUAUAGUGAUUUGUUUAUAAUAUUGAAAUUACCUCUCAACUCAGUCAGUAAUGAUUUAUUUUGAUAUUAUAAAAAGUCAUUAAAGGUAAGAUAAUACUCUUUCUUCUGUUACUUUGCUAUUUUCCUAAAGAUAAUUGCCUUAGGAUUUAUAGUUCUCCUAUUCCUAAAAUAAGAAUAUUUGCCCACACAAAACUAUUUGCCUAGCUCUAAGAAAAUAUUAUCUAUAUAGACUUUUUUUUUCUGUAGCAAGAAAUAUACUUGAAUGCUGAACACUUUCACUCCGGAUUUAAUCUCUACUGAGAACAACACAGGUUGUCCAUGUGAAGAUAGGGAGCUGGCAUAGUAGAAUGAGUAGUAGCAUUUAAUGGUGGGAUGUGGCAUGAUGGGUGUAGUUGGAAUUGUUAGUACUUUGCAUGAGGAUUUGUAUCUGUUUCUUUUCUUUUGUAAAGGCUGCUAAAAGGGCUUUUCCACAGAUAAGCAGAGUUACCAGAUUACCCCUGAUUGGUUGAAGUAGCAGAUGCUGUCAAGGCCCUUCCCACAUCUCCUCAGCCUUAACUAUUUCAUUGCCUGCCAGUCCAACUUUAAAUGCCAGAAAUUGCAUCUGAGGGCUUUCUCUGGCUACCUGAGUCAAUUCUGAAGUGUGUUCGGCAGUAUUUCCCCCAGUUUCCAGUGGAAUUGAGCUCACAUUGCCUCCAAUGGUAACUUCAUGGUAAUGCCCCUUCUGUUGGCUUCCUUUCCUUUCCUGUCUCACUUCCCCCACUCUCUUUCUGGUGUUUUCUGGGAUCACUUCCCAAAAAACUACUUGCACUGAGAUUCUUGACUCAGAGUUUGCAUCUGGAGGAAUUCAAAGUAGGACAGUUGGGAGUCUAGAUUCUCUGUCCAUACAAGUAUGUUUAGGGAGGGAGGAUGACAGCUGAAUCAAUAAAGGGAUCAUAGGAGGAUGGUGAGUGACUUUGUCGAUUCUGAUCAGACAACUGUUCUUGAGGGCUGUGAUUGCAUCUGGGAGAAAGCUUUCUGCUUUUAAGUAAAGAGGCAGGUGG